rnacentral:rRNA from 1 species
ACGGCGAGUGAACCGGGAAAGCCCAGCGCCGAAUCCUUCGCUCUUUUAACGGACGGGCGAUAGGCAAUGUGGCGUACGGGAGGAGCCUCUGUGACCUGUGCGAUUAGUCGGCCGGACGGCGGAAGCCCAAGUCCCCCUGACCGGGGCCAUCGCCCAAGGCGGGUGCAAGGCCCCUGCGGCUUCAAUUCGCCGUCCGGAGGUUGCGGCUCUCUCCUUAGAGUCAGGUUGCUUGAGAGUGCAGCCCGAAUAGCGGUGGUAAACUCCAUCGAAGGCUAAAUACUUCCACGAGACCGAUAGCAAACAAGUACCGUGAGGGAAAGUUGAAACAGGACUUUGGAGAGAGAGUUCAAGAGUACGUGAAACCGUUCGGAGGGAAACGGAUGGGCCCUCGAAGGUCGAACGGGGGGAUUCAACCCGUCGGUUAAAAUUGUAUGCUCGCGCGUCUCGGGCACGUCGCGUUGAAUGUCGUCGGUUCGCGCCGGCGACCGCUUCGCGCGGCGGUUCGGAUCCCGUAAAAAAGGACCGACCCGGGAUCGAACCCGUAACGGGGUUCGGCCUGUUUGGUGAUCGCGACGGCCGGCGGGCGCACUUCCCCCUUAGUAGGACGUCGCGACCGGUCGGGUUUAAACAAAGAAGUACGGCCCGUCAUCGGCCUUCGAGUAUUCAAGGGGAAGGUAUCCGUGUCGCUCAGGCCCAAAAGCUUGGGAGGCUCUCGGAACUUAUAGCCCCGCUCGAUAGAGUCGUGCACCGUCACCCGACCCGACUUGUGGUCGAGCGAAAUUUUGAACGAAGCUCGUCGAUGCGUGCCUGCCGCGCGAAAGGUUUCNNNNNNNNNNNNNNNNNNNNNNNNNNNNNNGGACCAAGGAGUCUAACAUGUGCGCAAGUCGUAGGGUCGGUUCGAAAAUGAGCUAAACCCGAAGGCGUAAUGAAAGUGAAGAUACCGUUUGAUGCACACACGCGUCUCGCACGCGGAGUGGCCUGCGGAUCGAGGCGGGAUCCCUUUGCAUAUCGGGAAUCGAGGGAUUAAUUUCUCUCGACCCGGGGGCGCACCGCCGGCCCGCCUCAAGUCUCUCUCGUUGUCGUCGGUCGUUCGCGGCUCGACGGCUUCGGGAUUAAUCUUUGUAAAACGUAGACGAGGCGGAGCAAGAGCGUACACGUUGGGACCCGAAAGAUGGUGAACUAUGCCUGGGCAGGAUGAAGCCAGAGGAAACUCUGGUGGAGGUCCGCAGCGAUUCUGACGUGCAAAUCGAUCGUCGGACCUGGGUAUAGGGGCGAAAGACUAAUCGAACCAUCUAGUAGCUGGUUCCCUCCGAAGUUUCCCUCAGGAUAGCAGGCGCUCAGGCAAAAGAUUACUUAUAAAAGCAAUCUCAUCCGGUAAAGCGAAUGAUUAGAGGUCUUGGGGUCGAAACGACCUCAACCUAUUCUCAAACUUUCAAUGGGUGAGAAGUCCGGCUUGCUCAAAGUGAAGCACGGACAUUGGAUGUGAGUGCCUAGUGGGCCACUUUUGGUAAGCAGAACUGGCGCUGUGGGAUGAACCAAAAGCCGGGUUACGGCGCCUAAUGCGGACGCUCAUCAGACCCCAUGAAAGGUGUUGGUUGCUAUAGACAGCAGGACGGUGGCCAUGGAAGUCGGAACCCGCUAAGGAGUGUGUAACAACUCACCUGCCGAAGCAACUAGCCCUGAAAAUGGAUGGCGCUCCAGCGUCGAGCCUAACCCCGGCCGUCGGAAGGCAAAACUAAAGGGCAGCGGUAAACAAAACCGCUGCUCGACCACAAAGCCCCGACGAGUAGGAGGGUCGCGACGGCGUGCGUUGAAGCUGUCGGGCGCGAGCCCGCGUGGAGCCGCCGUCGGUGCAGAUCUUGGUGGUAGUAGCAAAUACUCGAGUGAGAACCUUGAGGACUGAAGUGGAGAAGGGUUCCAUGUGAACAGCAGUUGAACAUGGGUCAGUCGGUCCUAAGAUAUAGGGGAAACCCGUUCUGA